rnacentral:rRNA from 1 species
AUGUCGCUUCAAAAAUUAUCACUAGGAAUGAACAACUUUGUCGGGUCCAUACCAGCUUUGUCGAACAUUGGCCCACCCUUGCAAUAUCUUAAAUUGCAAUCAAACAAUCUUUCUGGGACCAUACCUUCUUCUUUAGGGAAUUUUUCUUCGCUUCGCUACCUCUUGCUUGGAGAUAAUAAUUUCCAAGGUAGAAUACCAAUGAGUAUAGGCAAUAUUCUGUACCUGAGAGUACUAGAUCUCACUUAUAAUUCUUUGUCUGGGACAGUCCCUAACACUCUUUACAACAUAUCAUCACUUACAUACCUUGGCAUGGGUAUGAACAUACUUGUAGGGGAAAUUCCAUAUAACAUCGGAUAUACCCUUCCAAACAUCCAAACUUUGAUUAUGCAAGGAAACAACUUCACAGGACAAAUCCCCAUUUCAGUAGCCAACACAACCAAUCUUCAGGUGAUCAACCUCCGCGACAAUUCAUUCCAUGGUAUUGUUCCUUCUUUUGGGACUCUUCCUAGUCUAGUAGAUAUGAAUCUAGGCUGGAACCAACUUCAAGCAGGAGAUUGGUCUUUCUUAUCCUCAUUGACCAAUUGCACACAACUGGAGAAGUUGCGCUUGGAUGCAAACAACCUUGAGGGUGUCUUGCCCAAUUCCAUUGCAGGCCUUUCAAAGAGUUUAGAGUUAUUGUUAUUAAGAUCAAAUAGAAUAUCUGGCACUAUACCUUUGGAGAUACAGUACUUGACAAGCCUCAGACGUCUUUACAUGGAACGCAAUUUGCUUACUGGAAAUCUUCCUGAAUCAGUUGGAAAUCUUUCCAACUUGUUUGUCUUAAGCUUGUCUCAGAACAAACUUUCUGGAUCAAUUCCACUUUCUGUCGGUAAACUGAGUCAACUGAGUGAGCUCUAUUUACAGGAAAAUAAUUUUAGUGGCCCUAUCCCAGGAGCUUUAGCAGGCUGCAAGAAGUUAGAAAAACUAAACCUCUCUUGUAACAGCUUUGAUGGGAGAAUACCAAAGGAGUUGUUUUCUCUUCCCUCCCUUUCCCAGGGUUUGGACUUGUCCCACAACCAACUCUCUGGACAGAUACCUCCGGAGAUUGGCAGCCUGAAAAAUCUUGGGCCACUGAAUAUUUCCCAUAAUCAACUUUCUGGACAAAUACCCCCCACUCUAGGUCAGUGCGUCCAUCUGGAGUCCCUCCACAUGGAGGGUAACCUCUUUCAUGGGAAAAUCCCUCACUCCUCCAUAAGUUUGGGAGGCAUCAUUGAGAUGGAUCUAUCUCAAAACAACUUAUCAGGUGAAAUCCCUGACAUCUUUAAGUUCUUUAAGUCUAUGAAGCUUCUCAAUUUGUCCUUCAACAAUCUCGAGGGUUCUGUACCAGCAGAUGGAAUAUUUCAGAAUGGAAGAAAGGUUUUUAUUCAAGGGAACAUGAAGUUAUGUACCAGCACGCCAUUGCUACGGGUGCCAUUUUGCAAUGCAGAGGCAUCCAAACAAAGGAAUAGCUCCAGCAUUCUCAAGAUAGUAGGAUUUACAGUUCUUUCUUUGGUCCUGUUAUCAUGCUUUGCAACCAUUAUUUUGAAGAAGAAAAAGAACUUCAAACAAGCAGCUCAUCCAUCCUGCAAAGAGUUGAAGAAGUUCACAUAUGCUAAUUUAAUGAGGGCAACAAAUGGUUUCUCAUCAGAUAACUUGAUCGGUUCAGGAAAAUAUGGGUCUGUGUACAGAGGUAGAAUUGAAUCUGAAGAACAUGAAGUUGCCAUCAAAGUUUUCAAACUCAAUCAACUCGGAGCACCAAAAAGCUUCAUUGCUGAGUGUGAAGCAUUGAGAAAUACUCGUCACAGGAAUCUUAUAAGGGUGAUUACUGCAUGCUCAACCAUUGAUCCAACAGGACAUGAUUUCAAAGCUAUUGUUCUUGAAUAUAGUGUUAACGGCGACCUGGGAAGUUGGCUCCAUCCAACAGUCCAUGAGGAUGGUCAGAGAAGGCCAUUGAGUUUCGGUACAAGAAUAGUAAUAGCAGUGGACAUAGCUGCUGCUUUGGAUUACCUCCAUAACCAAUGUGUGCCUCCUAUUGCACACUGCGAUCUGAAGCCUAGCAAUGUCCUUUUGGAUGAUUUCAUGGGCGCACGUGUUGGAGAUUUUGGGUUGGCUAAGUUCCUGCAUAGUUACAAUUCUUCGGACAUUCAUACUUCUACAAGCUUAGUGGGGCCAAGAGGAUCAGUUGGAUACAUUGCCCCAGAAUAUGGAUUUGGGAGCAAAAUCUCCACUGAGGGCGACGUAUUUAGCUCUGGAGUCAUCAUCUUAGAAAUGCUUACAGGAAAGCGUCCAACCGAUGAGAUGUUUAAAGAUGGCCUGACCCUUUACAAAUUUGUUGAAAAAUCAUUUCCUCAAAAGAUUGAGGAGAUUCUAGACCCUAGAAUAGUUCCAGGUUAUCGAGGUGAAGGUGAAGAUGCAGGCAGUAAUUCAGACCGGGAACGAAUGGUUGCAAUGAGCUGCAUCAUAAAGCUCAUGGAGCUUGGGUUGCUGUGCUCUGCAGACACACCUAAAGAUCGGCCAACUAUGCAGGACAUAUACAAUGAAGUUAUCGCAAUCAAAGAAUCAUUUUCAGCAUUGGAGGGCUGA